GCUCUGCGCCUCCUCUGGGCGCACUGCCUGGGAGCACGAGACUGGUUUGUCUGAUGCUGCUGCCGGAGCUGAGGUCUUGCCUGGAGAUCCGAACGAGACACCACGUCAACCGGCGCGGGGAGUCCCGUGAAGACAUGAGGGCGCCAGGAGCGCAGUACUGGAAUACCUGAGUUUUGGCUGGGCACAGAACUGUCUGGAAUACAGACUGCAAUUCCCAGCCUUCUGUGCAGUUCUGUGUGGCCAUGUGACUAAGUUGUGGUCAAUAUGAGUCACGGAAGAAUAGAAGAACAACUCAGAGGAGGAAGAAGUCAGACAUAGCCAGACACGGCUGCUAGCAGUUCCACCAAUGAAAGAGGAGACCAGGAUGUUUAAAACAGGCAAACACAAGGUGCGAAAAACCAGAAGCGAAAACUUCUGAGGUCAUUUAAGCAAGGACUAUCGUUAUCCCCGGAAGCAGAGAGAAGUUCCCUUUGCCCAACAUCACACUGCAAGCACGUGUUGGAGCUGAGAUUCAAACCCAGGCAUCCAGGGUCCAGGGCCCAUGCUUUUAAUAUAUUCCAUAUCUUAGGAGAAUUUCCCCUAUUUAAACAAUAAAAGUGCAAAAAUCUUGUGGCUAGCCAAAAUUUUCAGUUGUUUGGAAAACUUAUUUAUCCAAUAAGUGGAAAACUCACUUGUCCUCCAACAAUUCUGGAUAAAUGAAAGAACGAAUUGAACUGAGACUGGAAUCCGGGUCUCCCAGUACUUUGUAGUUCCUAUCCAUAUGGCUUGUCAGGAAGGCCACAGGGAGGUUAACUAACUCUGCGUAACCAGAAACAAUCCCACAUCAGACUGUUGGCAGUGGGAGUGGAACACUCAGAGCUGAACCGCAUGCAAGAUGGUUGCAUUUUCAUUUGCAAUGUCGUCAUCUUCCUCAUGGCUAAAGAGGUAUUUUGGAGUUGACAUGAAGGCUACUGUAAUUUUUAGAGGCAUUUUCUUUCUGGCCUGUAUUUACAUAUUGUGGUAGAAGAGUCAGAAGACUUCAAGCUUCAAAAGUGAAUCUUGUUGCGAGUUACAAAAGCACCACCCGGUGGGGUGCAGCUCUCAGCAUGUGUCACCACAGGCACUGUGAUUUCCCUGUCUUCAUCCAACUUUGGUUGCUGUUCUUCAUGCUCAGGAAUUCUGCAACUGCUGUAGCUUUUGCUGUUGUUAUGUCUGUAGGUAUGGACUCAUUUCUACCAUUCUGGAAUGAAACAUUAUUUCAAGGGAAGCUUCUCAUUGUAAAAGGUCCACACAUUCAGAAGGAAACUGGGAGUACAUUUUCUCAUAGGCCUGGAGCAUUAACUGACUAUGCAUCUUUCCCCUCAGUGUUGUCAUCAUGUUGUAAGGGGAUGAGUCAUGGACAACAUUUUCACACACAUACGUGAGGUCCAUUGACCAGUCUUUAGGACAACUAGAAAUCUUUUCUUUCUUUGUUUUAAAAAGGAAGACAAGUCAAGAUACAGCAAAUAAAAAUGCUCAGCACAUUUGCUGAAAUCUUAGCAAAAUCAAAAAAAAAAAAAAAAAAAAAAAAA
rnacentral:lncRNA from 1 species